rnacentral:ribozyme from 16 species
CUAGCAAGAGCCGUUGUUUCGGCUCAUUUACAGUAUGCUAGACAAGCAAUUGUUUGUGACUACGUUGCUUGCGCCGCACUUACAAUUCCCCCUACCCAAUACUUGUCAGCACCACUAUCUGUAUAAUUAUAGUUUAUACCAGUAAAUAACAAUUCAAGUCGCACACAGGAAACUUAUCUCA